UACGGAGGGUGCAAGCGUUAUCCGGAUUCACUGGGUUUAAAGGGUGCGUAGGCGGGCAGGUAAGUCAGAGGUGAAAUCUCCGGGCUUAACCCGGAAACUGCCUUUGAUACUAUCUGUCUUGAAUAUGGUGGAGGUCAGCGGAAUAUGUCAUGUAGCGGUGAAAUGCUUAGAGAUGACAUAGAACACCCAUUGCGAAGGCAGCUGACUACGCCUAUAUUGACGCUGAGGCACGAAAGCGUGGGGAUCAAACAGG
rnacentral:rRNA from 1 species